UACAGAGGUCCCGAGCGUUGUUCGGAUUCAUUGGGCGUAAAGGGUGCGUAGGCGGCGGGGCAAGUCUGAUGUGAAAUCCUGGGGCUCAACCCCAGAACUGCAUUGGAUACUGCUUUGCUAGAGUACUGGAGAGGGAACUGGAAUUUACGGUGUAGCAGUGAAAUGCGUAGAGAUCGUAAGGAAGGCCAGUGGCGAAGGCGAGUUCCUGGACAGUGACUGACGCUGAGGCACGAAAGCUAGGGGAGCAAACAGG
rnacentral:rRNA from 1 species